AGCGAACGCUGGCGGCAGGCUUAACACAUGCAAGUCGAGCGGGCCCUUCGGGGUCAGCGGCAGACGGGUGAGUAACACGUGGGAACGUACCCUUUGGGUCGGAAGAACGCUGGGAAACUAGCGCUAAUACCGGAUACGCCCUUUUGGGGAAAGGCUUGCUGCCGAAGGAUCGGCCCGCGUCUGAUUAGCUAGUUGGUGGGGUAAUGGCCUACCAAGGCGACGAUCAGUAGCUGGUCUGAGAGGAUGAUCAGCCACACUGGGACUGAGACACGGCCCAGACUCCUACGGGAGGCAGCAGUGGGGAAUAUUGGACAAUGGGCGCAAGCCUGAUCCAGCCAUGCCGCGUGAGUGAUGAAGGCCUUAGGGUUGUAAAGCUCUUUUGUCCGGGACGAUAAUGACGGUACCGGAAGAAUAAGCCCCGGCUAACUUCGUG
rnacentral:rRNA from 1 species